GAUAACUGGCCUGUGGCAGCCAAGUGUUCAUAGAGCUGUCGCUUUUUGAUCCUUCGAUACCAGCUCUUCCUAUCAUGGUGAAGCAGAAUUCACCAAGCAUUGGAUUGUUUACCCACUAACAGGGAACAUGAGCUGGGUUUAGACUGUCAUGAGACAGGUU
rnacentral:ncRNA from 1 species